CGGUCUGGGAUAUAGCGGCAAACGGGUGCGUAAUGCGUGGGUAAUCUACCCAUAUGCCGAGGAUAGCUUCUCGAAAGGGGAGGUAAUACUUGAUGUGUCCGCUCCUACAUAAGUAGGAACGGGUAAAGGUCCCGCAAGGGAUUGCAUAUGGAUGAGCUCAUGUCCUAUCAGCUAGUUGGUGAGGUAAUGGCCCACCAAGGCUAUUGACGGGUAGGUGGUCUAAGAGGAUGGUCACCCACAAGGGGAUUGAGAUACUGCCCCUACUCCUACGGGAGGCUGCAGUCGAGAAUAUUUAGCAAUGGACGAAAGUCUGACUAUGCGACGCCGCGUGAGGGAUGAAGGUUUUCGGAUCGUAAACUUCUUUCGAUGGGGAAGAAACUCCUUAUAGUAAUAUAAGGGAUGACGGUACCCAGAGAAGAAGCCACGGCUAACUCCGUGCCAGCAGCCGCGGUAAUACGGGGGUGGCGAGCGUUACUCGGAUUUACUGGGUGUAAAGGGCAGGUAGGCGGUCGAGCAAGUUGUGGGUGAAAUCCCCAGACUCAAUCUGGGAAUAGCCUUCAAAACUACUCGACUUGAAGACGGUAGAGGAGAGCGGAAUUCCCGGUGUAAGGGUGAAAUCUGUAGAUAUCGGGAGGAACACCUGUGGCGAAAGCGGCUCUCUGGCCCGUCCUUGACGCUAAUCUGCGAAAGCUAGGGUAGCAAACAGGAUUAGAUACCCUGGUAGUCCUAGCCGUAAACGAUGAGCACUAGGUGUCGGUGGUUUACCCUUCGGCGCCGUAAGGUAACCUGUUAAGUGCUCCACCUAAAGACUACGGCCGCAAGGCUAAAACUCAAAGGAAUUGACGGGGGCCCGCACAAGCGGUGGAACAUGUGGUUCAAUUCGAUGCUACGCGAAGAACCUUACCAGGGCUUGACAUGCAGGANCUAGUGAAAUGAAAGUGGAUCGACCUGUCAAGUCGGGAGCCUGCACAGGUGCUACAUGGCUGUCGUCAGCUCGUGCCGUGAGGUGUUGGGUUAAGUCCCGCAACGAGCGUAACCCUCGUUCUUAGUUGCCACCCUUGAAGCCGCAAGGCAGAGAGGAGCACUCUAAGGAGACUGCUCGGGAUAACCGAGAGGAAGGUGGGGAUGAC
rnacentral:rRNA from 1 species